UCGAGAAUCUUCGGCAAUGGGCGCAAGCCUGACCGAGCGACGCCGCGUGCGAGAUGAAGGCCUUCGGGUUGUAAAUCGCUGUCAGAGGGGAGGAAAUGCCGGUGGGUUCUCCCAUCGGUUUGACCUAUCCUCAGAGGAAGGACGGGCUAAGUUCGUGCCAGCAGCCGCGGUAAGACGAACCGUCCAAACGUUAUUCGGAAUCACUGGGCUUAAAGGGUGCGUAGGCGGUCCGGGAAGUUGGGUGUGAAAGCCCUCAGCUCAACUGAGGAAUUGCGCCCAAAACUGCCGGACUUGAGGGAGACAUAGGUGAGCGGAACUUAGGGUGGAGCGGUGAAAUGCGUUGAGAUCCUAAGGAACACCAGUAGCGAAAGCGGCUCACUGGGUCUCUUCUGACGCUGAUGCACGAAAGCUAGGGGAGCGAAGA
rnacentral:rRNA from 1 species